UAUCUUAAGAUGAAUGCACUUACUGUAAAUCACUCUGGAUAAGAGCAUCUGUUAAAUCAGGGUUUCUCAAUCCGGGGUCUGCGGAGGUACUGCAGGGGUUCUCAAUCCGGGGUCUGUGGAGGUACUGCAGGGGUUCUCAAUCCGGGGUCUGUGGAGGUACUGCAGGGGUUCUCAAUCCGGGGUCUGUGGAGGUACUGCAGGGGUUCUCAAUCCGGGGUCUGUGGAGGUACUGCAGGGGUUCUCAAUCCGGGGUCUGUGGAGGUACUGCAGGGGUUCUCAAUCCGGGGUCUGUGGAGGUACUGCAGGGGUUCUCAAUCCGGGGUCUGUGGAGGUACUGCAGGGGUUCCACGGCACCCUGACUGUACUCGUUGCAAUGUACAACUCUUCACACCCGUUUAACAACUCUAAAUAUCUUUGGCAUAGUAGGUAUCAAGUCCCUUGCCAAUAAUGUUGCCUACAACAUACAAUGUUCAUUUUCAGCGAACACAUAUUACGCCCUAGAUGCCUUCAACUGCCCCAUUUACAGCCAU